UCACAAAUAAUUUUAAAAAAUCGUCUUAAUGGCUUUGUUUGGCGUGUUUGUUUCGACUGUAUAUGUAACCAUAAACACACAAAUCAAAUAGCCGAAAAUGCUUCAAAUCGUGAUCGUGUCUUUCAACCCGAGCUAGAAAGGUCUGUGUUGUCCACAGGCUACAUUUCAGCAAUUUAACAACAUGGGAUGAAAAUAGUUCCCACUAAAACUCAGCCGGCUCAAA